rnacentral:lncRNA from 1 species
UAUUGCAAUGAACAAUGCUACCAACCUGGAAGAGCUGCAGCUCAUUGAGUUUGGGCGAAGGUUCAGGCACAGCCAGCAGCUGAGCAUGGAGAGCCCCGAGAUUGGCAGCGUUUUGAAUCAAGAGCUGCUGGCUGUGUCGGAGAGGAAGCGCUGCCACCCAUGCCCCUGCACCUGCAUUGGAUUGCCAGGCUUGCAAGGCCCCUUGGGCAUUCCAGGGCGUAAGUUGGGAUAAAUCUCCUGGUGUCUCCAACUUCCAUUCCUAUUAGCCUUGCUGGGCCUAUGUUGUCUGACCCAGCUGGCUGGACCCUACACAGCUGGGACCUUGUCAACUUGGCCUCUAUGUUGCCUGAGCUCUAUCAUCUGAUGUUGUGUCAACUGGAGUCACCAGACAUUGAAGCUGG